rnacentral:rRNA from 1 species
GUGGGGAAUAUUGGACAAUGGGCGAAAGCCUGAUCCAGCCAUGCCGCGUGUGUGAAGAAGGUCUUCGGAUUGUAAAGCACUUUAAGUUGGGAGGAAGGGCAGUAAGUUAAUACCUUGCUGUUUUGACGUUACCGACAGAAUAAGCACCGGCUAACUUCGUGCCAGCAGCCGCGGUAAUACGAAGGGUGCAAGCGUUAAUCGGAAUUACUGGGCGUAAAGCGCGCGUAGGUGGUUUUGUAAGUUGGAGGUGAAAUCCCCGGGCUCAACCUGGGAACUGCCUCCAAAAGUGCAUGACUAGAGUACGGUAGAGGGUAGUGGAAUUUCCUGUGUAGCGGUGAAAUGCGUAGAUAUAGGAAGGAACACCAGUGGCGAAGGCGACUACCUGGACUGAUACUGACACUGAGGUGCGAAAGCGUGGGGAGCAAACAGGAUUAGAAACCCCUGUAGUCC